rnacentral:lncRNA from 1 species
UAUAUUCAAAAUGGUGAUUGCUGAAGUAUCAUCUGCUCUAUGGCUGGAAAGGAACUCACGGAUAUUUGAGAAUACUUUUCGUAACAGUGAAGUCUUAGUAAGGGAACUAGCUUAUAUAUGUAAUGCUAGAGGUACUCCUAGAACUAGAAAGCAGAUGAAGUUGUUGUUGUUGUUGUUGUUGUUGUUAUUAUAACAUAAGAGAACUAGCUUAUAUAUGUAAUGUUAGAGGUACUCCUAGAACUAGAAAGCAGAUGAAGCAAUUCAAGUUAUAGUAUAUGAGUAGUUAGUUUUCUGAUACGGGUAGUUAGUUUUCUGGAUUAG